UCGUCAUGUAUACGCUCCACA
rnacentral:piRNA from 1 species